AUBACGAAGGCACACCAGGGUGGGCUGCGSUUAAUUGACUCAACACGGGAAAUCAUCCGUCCGACACCGUGAGAUUGACAGAUUGAGAGCUCUUUCUUGAUUUGGUGGCCAGUGGUUGCAUGCCCGUWCUUAGUUGGUGGAGUGAUUUGUCUGGUUUAUUCCGAUAACGAACGAGACUCUGGCCUACUAACUAGUUGCGCGAUUUUUCUGUCGUGCCAACUUCUUAGAGGGACAAGCGGUGCUCAGCCGCAUGAAAAAGAGCCAAUAACAGGUCUGUGAUSCCCUUCGAUGUUCGGAGCCGCACGCGCGCUACACUGUGAGUGGCAGCAUGUUGGUUUGCCUCGCUCGCAAGMSYGGGGUAAUCGGUUGAAAAUCUAACGURAUUGGGAUAGGGAAUUGUAAUUAUUUCCCUUGAACGAGAAA
rnacentral:rRNA from 1 species